UACAGAGGUGGCGAGCGUUAUUCGGAAUUAUUGGGCGUAAAGGGCGCGUAGGCGGCUAGGCAAGUCCUGGGUGAAAUCCCUCGGCUCAACCGAGGAACUGCCUUGGAAACUGCCUGGCUCGAGGCCGGGAGAGGGUAGCGGAAUUCCCAGUGUAGCGGUGAAAUGCGUAGAUACUGGGAGGAACACCAGUGGCGAAGGCGGCUACCUGGACCGGUUCUGACGCUGAGGCGCGAAAGCGUGGGGAGCAAACGGG
rnacentral:rRNA from 1 species